CUUCAACAAUCUGCGACUUCAUUAGAGAGACACACAGCAAGAGAUCAUCUCCUCUGUAAUCCCACUGCGUCCUUUACUCUAUCUCCAGCAUUGAGAAGGGAUACCAACAACCGCAAGAUAUCAUCAGAUCUGUAAUUCCAGUAUUUCCUUGCUCUAUCUCUACCCCCCAGCUACAAGAAGA